ACGCGUGGGAAGUCUGCCCUCGGGGUUUGGGGAGUAACCGUUGGAAACGACGGCUAAUACCGAAUGAUAUCGCGAGAUCAAAGAUUUAUCGCCCUGGGAUGAGCCCGCGUAGGAUUAGCUUGUUGGUGAGGUAACGGCUCACCAAGGCGACGAUCCGUAGCUGGUCUGAGAGGAUGACCAGCCACACUGGGACUGAGACACGGCCCAGACUCCUACGGGAGGCAGCAGUGGGGAAUAUUGGACAAUGGGGGCAACCCUGAUCCAGCCAUGCCGCGUGUGUGAAGAAGGCCCUAGGGUUGU
rnacentral:rRNA from 1 species